GUGUGCUCAUUCUGCACGUCGAAUGACUCUAUUCGACAAUUCUCACCUCGGAGUCACAUGACUCUUCUCACUCGAUUCCGGUUGUCGACUCGAGUGAGGUGAGAGGUUCACUUUUGUAGCGAGAAACGAAAUGAACCAAAACAAAUGCGAUGUUCAUUCGCAGAACUGUCAAACCGGUGGCGCAUCAAGAAUACGCUUUGAUUAUGGCGUAUUAAAAAAACACAAUUUGUAUAUAUCGUUUUAUCUCGUCAAUUUGUAAUAUUUUCAUCUACUUACAUCAAGUUAUGACCUUAAACAAAAGUUGUAUGUAAUGAUUUAAAAUUAGAAAGCAUGAUAUAGUAGUUUAAAAUGUGUAUUUUUAACAUUUUGGUAACGCAAACAUAUCCAACGUUUGGCCCUUAUAUAAACAUGCCCGAUUUCUCUUGAGUUGAUUUUCCUCCUUCCAAAAAUUGAAAAAACUUCUUCAAACAAAAUAUUUUUUUUAAUCGUGGUUACGCGGAUUUUACGUCAAGCUGGAUUUGAAUCCGGAGACUGUUUCUUAGGUUUCCUCGGCGCAGUAAGGUAUGUUUUAAACCACUAGAAAGCAAUUUCUCCAACUCAUCCAAAACACAGUAAAAGUAUUGUGAUGUUUUUCAACUUCCACAGACCACCCCACAAUCCAUCGGUUCGGCAUCGAUAGCCGCAACGGCGGCUCUGGCAACGCAUUUUUGCUCAGCCACUUCCGUCGUCGUAUACACGGCUAGAACUAAGUUGACCAGUAGCAGUAGCUCGGUUAGCUACGUCGUCAUCAACUUUCGAGGACCUAUCCUACGACGGAGCAAGGGAAACUUGCGAACAAGUCAGCGACGACUGCUGAAGGUGACCGAGAUUAAUUGUUCCUGUCUCCUGUGGGACCGGCUGAGUACGAAAAAACCGAUCUCAUCUAGUCGGAAAGCGAGGGAACCGAAUCGUCGGAUGAUUCCUCCACAAUGGAAUCAACUCCAACGGUGGGCAGCAAGCACAACAAUGCCUCCAUGUCGAUCAAUGCCUCUUCCGAUUUCCAAAGCGGGGGAAUCCGACCCUAAAGAAGCAAAUUCCUCAGCAGAUGGUGAUCCAGCAGAUUCCUUAGAUUCUGCAGCAACAACGACAACACACAGGUUUUGGCCCAGCUGCAGGGCCAACCACAGCAGUUCCACCAUCAGCACCAGCUCGUAAACAAUCAUCACAUCAUCAGUAGCAGCAACACCAGAGAGUCAAAACCAUUUGCAUUAUGAAAAUAUCCAAGACUGACCGGAGAUUGAAACCGUCACUUUCAGCAUGGUCUCGGAAAAUACCCACGUGUUUACCGCAUACAGAUAUCGGAGCUACUUGUACUGCUACGGCUGCUUUGUAAUCAUAAAACAUACAAAAAAGAUACAUAUUAGUGUUAAUGAAAAUAAAUUAUUCUUGAUCAAAACUUU